UUCCAGCUGACGAGUCCAAAAAUAGGACGAAAUGCACAUACUGGGU
rnacentral:hammerhead_ribozyme from 1 species